rnacentral:rRNA from 1 species
GACGAACCGUGCGAACGUUAUUCGGAAUCACUGGGCUUAAAGGGUGCGUAGGCGGGUUGCCAAGCCUGUGGUGAAAUCCUCCGGCUUAACCGGAGAACUGCCGUGGAUACUGGCGACCUCGAGGGGUGUAGGGGCUUGCGGAACUGUGCGUGGAGCGGUGAAAUGCGUUGAUAUGCACAGGAACUCCGGUGGCGAAAGCGGCGAGCUGGACACCUUCUGACGCUGAGGCACGAAAGCCAGGGGAGCGAACGGG